UAGGGAAUCUUCCACAAUGGACGCAAGUCUGAUGGAGCAACGCCGCGUGAGUGAAGAAGGUCUUCGGAUCGUAAAACUCUGUUGUCAGAGAAGAACACGAGUGAGAGUAACUGUUCAUUCGAUGACGGUAUCUAACCAGCAAGUCACGGCUAACUACGUACCAG
rnacentral:rRNA from 1 species